UGUUCUGUGGCUUAGUUGGUUAAAGCGCCGAUAGCGAUAACGGAGUCGUAGGUUCGAACCACACCAGAACGC
rnacentral:tRNA from 1 species